CGGAUAGAGCGUUGGACUUCUAAUCCAAAGGUUGCGGAUUCAAGUCCCGCCCAGAGUA
rnacentral:tRNA from 1 species